rnacentral:lncRNA from 1 species
GAUUAUUUUCUUAUAUGCAAUGAAAUGUAGUGUGAAAUUUUCACUGUAUCACUGGAAAGGAUUAAACUUUACACAUGCAAAGUAUUUCUUUGGUUGAAUUAAAGGUAAAUACUGUACAUUUUUUUUUAAAAGUGCCAAUUUAACAAAGACUAAUAGGGAAAAAUCAAUGGUGGUAUUACACCUAUUUAGGGAAACUACAUAUGCACUCGUGACCUUAUUGUACUUUCAUUUUUAAAAGUUAUUAAUAAACCAGUUCAUACAUUGUAAACAUGGACUAUUCGGAAUGGAUUUAGACACAGAGAGCACGUUUGAGGUAAAAUUGCCUUGAAAUGAGGGUUUACGGGUGUUUUCUAAGUCAAAUGAGUGGACAGACAAAGCUGUAUUUAGUUUACUGUGUUAAAUUUUAAAUUACCCUGACAGAUUUGUUUAUACAACAUGUGAUUUUUUUUAUUUCAGUGUUAACCAUGUUCUGAAGAGCAUUCUGUUGAAAAAUCUCAUAUGUGAAUUGGUCUGCAGAUGACACUUCAGCAUUAAAGUAAGUAUCAACUAUCAUCAUGUUUUUUUUGUUUUUUUUUUUUUGGCCGCAAAAGUUUACAAUUUGCCAUUGUGCCGUCUACAUUUUGCACAGACAAUAAAUCAUCUAAACACUUAUUUGCCCUGGAUUUAUACACAUCAGAAUCCAGUCUCACAUACUUAAACUUUAUAAUUCUUACCAAUUAUUUUUUGUACCAGCAUUCCAAGGGACAUAACCCUUUUUAAAAACAUUUUGAGGUAUUUUUUAUUACUCUUUCUCCCCAUUUUCUAAUGUAAAAUACAAGAAAGUGGACUCUUUGUGUAAAUCUAUUAGAAAUAUACUGUUAUGAGUAAAUAAAAAGACUUUGAUACCAGUAACAAUAAAUGAUUGACUGAAAGGGAACCGUUAUUUGUCACACUAGGCGAACAGACCAAAAACUUGAGUUACACAUAAGGGCUUAUAGAAACUUCCGUGUAGACUGUUAACAUUUAUAGAGACAGUUCUUUCAGCUAAAACACUUUAAUUAUUGAUUUAACAUAACAUUUAUUUCAUUUUUGUGGGGAAAUAAUCACAUUUGUUUUAAUUUUUAGACAAAAGAUAUCAAGUUUUGAUGAAAAAGGAAGGAAGGAGGAAAAAUGGACCAAAACAGACCAAAACAGACCUUCAAAUGAACUCUAAAAGGUGCAAUAAAAUUGUUUAUCAUCUUAAAGUUGUCUUUUGUAUUCUAUAUAAUUGUUUGAAUGCAUAGAUCAUGAGUUUAUGAUCAGAUAUUAGUCAACACUGCAUUUUAUAAUAAUACACUGAAAUUAGGAUUUUUCGAAGAAAUUAGACUGAAAUUGCCGUAGGAUAUGGCCUUACAUUAUAGUGAUUUUCUCUGAAACUAUAGCUCUGACUGAGACAAAACUUGACAGUUAUGCUUGAAAUAACUUGCAAUUGGAGGGGAAAAAAUUACAUUAAGUUUAUUUGACAUUUAGGUGUUCUUUAGGUGUAAUACCACCAAAUCAUGGUACGUCACAUCCGGUUGCAUACGAAAGUAGGCCUAAAAAAAUAUUCCCUUGAAUUUGACAGUUGUAGAAAAUUAACCCUGCAUUUCAAUGCACUUAAAUUUUUCUGAGUCGUAAAUAUGUAUGUUGGAUGUCUGAAAGCAUCAUUCUUUUUUUUAUUUGAUGGUCUUAUAAAAUA